GCCGAAGUGGUGAAAUUGGUAUACACGCUGGUUUUAGGAACCAGUGCCGUGAGGCGUGGAGGUUCGAGUCCUCUCUUCGGCA
rnacentral:tRNA from 2 species